GAUGAACGCUGGCGGCGUGCCUAAUACAUGCAAGUCGAGCGAACGGACGAGAAGCUUGCUUCUCUGAUGUUAGCGGCGGACGGGUGAGUAACACGUGGAUAACCUACCUAUAAGACUGGGAUAACUUCGGGAAACCGGAGCUAAUACCGGAUAAUAUUUUGAACCGCAUGGUUCAAAAGUGAAAGACGGUCUUGCUGUCACUUAUAGAUGGAUCCGCGCUGCAUUAGCUAGUUGGUAAGGUAACGGCUUACCAAGGCAACGAUGCAUAGCCGACCUGAGAGGGUGAUCGGCCACACUGGAACUGAGACACGGUCCAGACUCCUACGGGAGGCAGCAGUAGGGAAUCUUCCGCAAUGGGCGAAAGCCUGACGGAGCAACGCCGCGUGAGUGAUGAAGGUCUUCGGAUCGUAAAACUCUGUUAUUAGGGAAGAACAUAUGUGUAAGUAACUGUGCACAUCUUGACGGUACCUAAUCAGAAAGCCACGGCUAACUACGUGCCAGCAGCCGCGGUAAUACGUAGGUGGCAAGCGUUAUCCGGAAUUAUUGGGCGUAAAGCGCGCGUAGGCGGUUUUUUAAGUCUGAUGUGAAAGCCCACGGCUCAACCGUGGAGGGUCAUUGGAAACUGGAAAACUUGAGUGCAGAAGAGGAAAGUGGAAUUCCAUGUGUAGCGGUGAAAUGCGCAGAGAUAUGGAGGAACACCAGUGGCGAAGGCGACUUUCUGGUCUGUAACUGACGCUGAUGUGCGAAAGCGUGGGGAUCAAACAGGAUUAGAUACCCUGGUAGUCCACGCCGUAAACGAUGAGUGCUAAGUGUUAGGGGGUUUCCGCCCCUUAGUGCUGCAGCUAACGCAUUAAGCACUCCGCCUGGGGAGUACGACCGCAAGGUUGAAACUCAAAGGAAUUGACGGGGACCCGCACAAGCGGUGGAGCAUGUGGUUUAAUUCGAAGCAACGCGAAGAACCUUACCAAAUCUUGACAUCCUUUGACAGCUCUAGAGAUAGAGCCUUCCCCUUCGGGGGACAAAGUGACAGGUGGUGCAUGGUUGUCGUCAGCUCGUGUCGUGAGAUGUUGGGUUAAGUCCCGCAACGAGCGCAACCCUUAAGCUUAGUUGCCAUCAUUAAGUUGGGCACUCUAAGUUGACUGCCGGUGACAAACCGGAGGAAGGUGGGGAUGACGUCAAAUCAUCAUGCCCCUUAUGAUUUGGGCUACACACGUGCUACAAUGGACAAUACAAAGGGCAGCGAAACCGCGAGGUCAAGCAAAUCCCAUAAAGUUGUUCUCAGUUCGGAUUGUAGUCUGCAACUCGACUACAUGAAGCUGGAAUCGCUAGUAAUCGUAGAUCAGCAUGCUACGGUGAAUACGUUCCCGGGUCU
rnacentral:rRNA from 1 species